rnacentral:rRNA from 1 species
UGCACCUACGGGGGGCAGCAGUAGGGAAUUUUCGUCAAUGGGCGCAAGCCUGAACGAGCGAUGCCGCGUGAGUGAAGAAGGCCUUCGGGUCGUAAAGCUCUGUUGCGGGGGAAAAAGGCAGCAUCAGGAAAUGGGUGCUGACUGAUGGUGCCCCGCCAGAAAGUCACGGCUAACUACGUGCCAGCAGCCGCGGUAAUACGUAGGUGGCAAGCGUUGUCCGGAUUUACUGGGUGUAAAGGGCGUGUAGCCGGGUUGACAAGUCAGAUGUGAAAUCCUGCGGCUUAACCGCAGAACUGCAUUUGAAA